rnacentral:rRNA from 1 species
GAUGAACGCUGACAGAAUGCUUAACACAUGCAAGUCAACUUGAACUUCGGUUUGGGUGGCGGACGGGUGAGUAACGCGUAAAGAACUUGCCUCACAGAUAGGGACAACAUUUGGAAACGAAUGCUAAUACCUGAUAUUAUGAUUUUAGGGCAUCCUAAGAUUAUGAAAGCUAUAUGCGCUGUGAGAGAGCUUUGCGUCCCAUUAGCUAGUUGGAGAGGUAACGGCUCACCAAGGCGAUGAUGGGUAGCCGGCCUGGGAGGGUGAUCGGCCACAAGGGGACUGAGACACGGCCCUUACUCCUACGGGAGGCAGCAGUGGGGAAUAUUGCACAAUGGGGGGAACCCUGAUGCAGCGACGCCGCGUGAGCGAAGAAGGUUUUCGAAUCGUAAAGCUCUGUCCUAUGAGAAGAUAAUGACGGUAUCAUAGGAGGAAGCCCCGGCUAAAUACGUGCCAGCAGCCGCGGUAAUACGUAUGGGGCGAGCGUUGUCCGGAAUUAUUGGGCGUAAAGGGUACGUAGGCGGCCUUUUAAGUCAGGUGUGAAAGCGUGAGGCUUAACCUCAUUAAGCACUUGAAACUGGAAGGCUUGAGUGAAGGAGAGGAAAGUGGAAUUCCUAGUGUAGCGGUGAAAUGCGUAGAUAUUAGGAGGAAUACCGGUGGCGAAGGCGACUUUCUGGACUUUUACUGACGCUCAGGUACGAAAGCGUGGGGAGCAAACAGG